rnacentral:rRNA from 1 species
CUUGGUCAUUUAGAGGAAGUAAAAGUCGUAACAAGGUUUCCGUAGGUGAACCUGCGGAAGGAUCAUUAUUGAAAUAAACCUGAUAAGUUGCUGCUGGUUCUCUARGGAGCAUGUGCACACUUGUCAUCUUUGUAUCUUCACCUGUGCACCUUUUGUAGACCUGAGUAUCUCUCUGAAUGUUUUAGCACUCAGGAUUGAGGAUUGACUUUCUGUCUCUUCUUUACAWUUUCAGGUCUAUGUUUCUUCAUAUACCCUAAUGUAUGUUUAUAGAAUGUAAUUAAUGGGCCUUUGUGCCUAUAAAUCUAUACAACUUUCAGCAACGGAUCUCUUGGCUCUCGCAUCGAUGAAGAACGCAGCGAAAUGCGAUAAGUAAUGUGAAUUGCAGAAUUCAGUGAAUCAUCGAAUCUUUGAACGCACCUUGCGCUCCUUGGUAUUCCGAGGAGCAUGCCUGUUUGAGUGUCAUUAAUAUAUCAACCUUCUUUGGUUGGAUGUGGGUUUGCUGGCCUCUUGAGGUCAGCUCCCCUUAAAUGCAUUAGCGGACAACAUUUUGCCAACCGUUCAUUGGUGUGAUAAUUAUCUACGCUAUUGACGUGAAGCAAGGUUCAGCUUCUAACAGUCCAUUGACUUGGAUAAAUUCAUUUUAUUAAUGUGACCUCAAAUCA